ACCACUGAGCCAUCUCUCCAGUCCAAGGUGGUUUUUUAAAAAUAUAAUUUAUUGGGCUGGAGAGAUGGCUCAGCAGU
rfam:Mus musculus chromosome 4, GRC primary reference assembly.